GGUCGCAUGGCCCAAUGGAAAGGCGCUUGACUACGAUCACCAUCGAUAUCAAGAGAUCCCAGGUUUGACCCCUGGUGCGAUCA